ACGGGUGAGUAAUAUGUAGGAAAUCUGCCCUAGAGAGGGGGACAACAGAGGGAAACUUCUGCUAAUACCCCAUAUGAGCUAUCCUGAAAUGGAUAUCUUGAAAACUCCGGUGCUCUGGGAUGAGCCUGCAUCUGAUUAGCUUGUUGGUGGGGUAAUGGCCUACCAAGGCGACGAUCAGUAGCUGGUUUGAGAGGAUGAUCAGCCACAAUGGGACUGAGACACGGCCCAUACUCCUACGGGAGGCAGCAGUAGGGAAUUUUGCGCAAUGGGCGAAAGCCUGACGCAGCAACACCGCGUGAAUGUUAAGCCCUUCGGGGUGUAAAGUUCUGUCAGUGGGGACGAAAUUUGACGGUACCCACAGAGGAAGCACCGGCUAACUCCGUGCCAGCAGCCGCGGUAAUACGGAGGGUGCAAGCGUUGUCCGGAAUCAUUGGGCGUAAAGAGUUCGUAGGUGGUAUGUUAAGUCUGGUGUUAAAUCCCGAAGCUCAACUUCGGCACGGCAUCGGAUACUGGCAAACUUGAAUGCGGUAGAGGUAAAGGGAAUUCCUGGUGUAGCGGUGAAAUGCGUAGA
rnacentral:rRNA from 1 species